rnacentral:rRNA from 1 species
UACGGAGGGUGCGAGCGUUGUCCGGAAUCACUGGCGUAAGGGCGCGAUAGGUGGCGGUCCAAGUCAACGGUGAAAGCUCGGGCUCAACCCCGAGUCGGCCGUCGAUACUGGGUGCUUGAGCACUGUAGAGGCAGAUGGAAUUCCGGGUGUAGCGGUGGAAUGCGUAGAGAUCCGGAAGAACACCGGUGGCGAAGGCGGUCUGCUGGGCAGUAGCUGACACUGAGGCGCGACAGCGUGGGGAGCAAACAGG